GAAGGCAUCAGGGCCUCCACCGCGCCCAUCCCUACUCGAGUCCAGCGAUGGAGGGCAUCUGGUGGCGACCACAGCAGCCUCCUCGCCGCCCGUCGCUUGAUCUGCUCGUUCGGGCUCGUGGUGCUCACGGGGCAGACGGCGGCGGCCUCAACAGCGACCAUGGAGGAGGGGUGCCACGCGGGGUGACCGAGCAGCUGUCGUUGGUGGCGGCCUCCUCCCUCGUCCCCUCCACCCUGCAGGUCUCUCGUCAAACUCGCCGUCCCCGACCACGACCAUGGCAGGGAAGCUUCCUCUGAUCCCGAGCACCGCGUGCUAGAUCCUCCCCGACCAUGAGCGCGGGAACCAGGUGAGCAUCCUCGUCUCCUCCAUCUGCUCGUGAGGCCAUGGACCAAUAAGCUGCGCAGAGACAACUUUCAUGGAUAAAUAAGGACGGGAGUCAGAGGCUGGCAGGAAAGAAACAAUUCAAACAACUUGUAUUUCAUCGGAACGGCAGAUCGCAGCGAGUUUAUGCUUCCUUGCCUCAAUGCCAUGCUCUGCUUUAGGCUCAAACAGUUUUCGGAUCACUUCAUGCCUUACAGGCUUAUUGAACUCAACUUGGCCCAUGGAUGGUUACUGAUGCACCCGGAUUUCCUUGACGGGGUCUUCUUAUAGAUUGCGGAGCUCAACACAUUACAGCGGAACUGGGAAGACGACGAGGGCGGCAGAUGGCUUCGGCGGGGGAGGCGACAACUGAUUGAAAAUGGACUAUCGUUAUGCUUCACUGUUAGUAAUAUUUUCUUCUCCAUUUUGAGCUGUAGUAAUUCAUAGGUCUGCUUUUUCUGGUAGAGAAUCAAGCUAGAAUUUGUUCUCAGAUUUACAAUCAAAGAUUGGUGAGUGUUUCCCUAUUGUAGUCUAGAGUAGGUGAUGGUUCAUGCGGUUUCGCUUGGAUGCAACUCAUAUCAUGUGCCCGUCAUCAGAUAGGAAUUGAUCGAUUGACCAACCUGAAAGUGUGAUGCUUCUUUGACUUUUUAUUAUGGUGUAUGUGAGUGACAUCAUCUCUGUUACUA